rnacentral:pre_miRNA from 1 species
CAAGUACUCCAUCCGUCCGAAAAUACUUGUCAUCAAAAUGGAUAAAAAGAUGUAUCUAGAACUAAUAUACAUCUAGAUACAUCCCCUUUUAUUCAUUUUGAUGACAAGUAUUUCCGGACGGAGGGAGUACUAC